GACAUUCAAGGUGGGGCGACCCCGAAAACUGGUCAAAAUUCGCAUGGACCACGAUCUCAGCAUUCAGGACUCCAUACAAAUCAAAGAGGGUCAGGCACGUGAUUUGAAGAUCUCGCACUCGCCCCAGCCAACGACGGGAUGAUGAUAGAAGGUGGCGCUUGUAUAUAAAUAGACAGUGAAUGAAGACAAAGCAUCUUUCGAGCUGGGGCAAGAGCUAGCAAACUCCGCGAUCUGUUAAUUGUGGGGGUCGUGGCGCUUUCGAUGUUCUAAUCGUGCUUGCAUCAUCUCCCCCAUCAUGCCUCACAAAGAUGUGCGAUCCUACGUCCUCAAUAGCUAAUAAUUGGACGAUGAAAGAAAGAUUUCUCGGUGAUGGGGAGCGAGGGCUGGACCGGGUCUUCCGAUGCCUUUCAAACCGCCUAAGGUUCGUGGAAUUCUAGAAAGCCAUACACGUAUGAACCGGACGAUGAUGAUUCAACGUGUCACAUGUUUCUGGCAUCAGACAAUGAAACCACGGUGGGGAGAAAGCUAAGCCAUGGAAAAGAGUCUGCCAGAAAAAGAAGAUGAACGAGAUGCCAGACAAUGCCUUCUGUGUGAACAAGAAGCAAGGAAGGAUA